rnacentral:sRNA from 1 species
GGGAAUUGAACUUGGGUCCUCCGGAUGCUCUUAACCGAUGUGCCAUCUAUCCCCAAACGGCCCCCCGCUCCAUUAUCAUUUCGUUUUCUGGUUCUCUCACGUCUCUUUUUAAACCACCUAAUCACUCCUCCAGUUUCUUGUGUAUACUUGUGUGAAUGAGGUUUAUUUUUACUGAGCGUCUGAGACACCCGGUGCCAUUGCCUUUGUCCUCACUGCAGAAUCCUGCAGGUUUGCCCCGGCUUCUCUCCCGUUUCCUAUUCUUAGCUCCUAAGUGCUUCGUUCUGCUGGGUGGUUAGUUAAUUUCUUUCUCUCUGCCAUUUAACUUUGAGAGCGUUCCUUGAUAUUUUGGAUGUGGGACACUUUGCAGCCUGGGAUAGAUUUGGUUUUCUCUUUAAGGCCUUCCUUUGGUUUCUGCCAGGUCCCAGGGCCACUCCAGUUCCGUUCUCUCCACUGGGGUAUCCAGACCACCCACAGGGUGGAUUUCUUUUGCCAUAAACGAGUGGAGAGCAUCAUAGAUAGCUUGUGAUUCGACUGCUUGGAGGUAAUUUUUAUACAGGCACAGGCACACGUGCACGUGUGCUCACAUACACACACACACACACACACACACACACAUUGUAUAUCUGUGCAAAUUAAGGUUCUGUGACUUUGAAGGUUCCAAAUUUACUCUAAGAUGUUCCGAAUCUGUGCUGGAAGAUCACCUCCCAAACAUUUUUUUCCCCCCGAGGACAUCCACGUCCAAGGUCAAGUUCACCAGGCUCAACAAAUGCCCCAACUUGAUCCCAGGCACGAAUUCUUAACGUCAUCAGACAUUCAUUCUCCGAGGCUCUUGAAGGAGUAUUUUGAUGCCAGAAUAUUUAGUUACUUUUCAAUAAGUGUAUUGAUCUUGCCAUGUUUCCGGAAAUGAAAAUCGGUCUCACACAAAGAAAAAAGAUUCAUGUUUCACAAUUCAACAGUCUUCAUUUAUAUUGUGCCAACACACAGCACCCACUGAAAGCUCAGUACUGGUUUUGGAAGUUAAUCUUACUGUGUAUUUGAAAAGCAGCCCUAACCUUUCAAAUUGCUUUCAUAGCUUCCCGUGGCUGUCAAAGAGGCCGGCACUGCCCUUCAGCCGGUUUAGGCUGUCAUCACAAACAAGGACCACUGUCAGCACCGAGUGGGGCAUCAGGGACAGUGAACUCCUUAAUGCACAGGGAACUCCAAAUUCAUAGUUUGCCUGUGACCCCUGAAGAUAUUCUAAGACUGAAUAUCAUACUUCAUCUUGUGUCAGAGGAGAGGAAGCAUUUUCAUACCUCACGUCUUAAUAUUACCUAGUUUAUUUAUGAGACUAUUUUUCCUCCAUUUUUACACUUUGAUCUUUAGUUCAUCUUGGGAUAUUAUUUUUAUUUCAUUUAAGAUUGUAUCCCUCUCUUGUUUCUUAUCAUAUGCAAACAAGUCCUGUGGGUCGUCUUUCACCCAACUUCGGUUUCAUUGUGACGAACCCUGGUGUUGUGCCUCUGUUCCUCAAUUUCAUGAUAUUCUAAGUACAAAUUCACACAUUUAUUUAAACAAGUUGCUGUCAUUUUAUUCCUUCUCUAUGUGCAAGCAAGCACUCACCACUAAAUUACAUCCCAGACCUUCUUUUAGAGAGGGUUUUACUAAUUUGCCCAGGCUGGCCUGGAACUCACUCUGUAACUUAGGCGAGCCUUGAAUUUGUUACCCUCCUGCCCAGCCUCCUGAGUAGCUAGGAUUCCAGGUCUGAACCAGUAGGUCUUGCUUUUUUUCUUUUUGAUAGGGGCUUAUAAGGACACAGUGACUUGCCUGGAGUCACCCAGCUUUUUUACAAGGAUAGAUAACUAUGACCUCACAACCCUGUGACAUGUCAUGUGUUUGCUUUUCCUGUCAGGGAGGCCCUGGGGACAUCAUACUUGUAGGACAGUAGUUCCCACUCUCCAGGACAGGAGAGUUAAUGGAAGAACAGUGGCCACCUAACAACAACCCAGCAGCACUGUCAUCAGAGUGGCACAGAAGCAGAGGGGCCACAUCUGCAGGAAGGACCAGGGACAGAUGGAUAUCAUCCAGAAUAGGUUCACUGGGGUGUGCUUCAGGAUGGGCCACACUCUGACAGGACAGUUGCUGAAGACCGGAAAUGCACUUCCUAUGUCAACGCACCUUGUAAUUUCAGCGAUCAUCUCUUGAAUAUAUCCCUUCUCUCGGAUGAUAUUUUAAUGUUGGCUUUUCUGAAAAUAAAGCUGCCCUUUGGAA